CCUACGGGAGGCAGCAGUGGGGAAUAUUGCACAAUGGGCGAAAGCCUGAUGCAGCGACGCCGCGUGAGGGAUGACGGCCUUCGGGUUGUAAACCUCUUUCAGCAGGGACGAAGCGCAAGUGACGGUACCUGCAGAAGAAGCACCGGCUAACUACGUGCCAGCAGCCGCGGUAAUACGUAGGGUGCAAGCGUUGUCCGGAAUUACUGGGCGUAAAGAGUUCGUAGGCGGUUUGUCGCGUCGUUUGUGAAAACCAGCAGCUCAACUGCUGGCUUGCAGGCGAUACGGGCAGACUUGAGUACUGCAGGGGAGACUGGAAUUCCUGGUGUAGCGGUGAAAUGCGCAGAUAUCAGGAGGAACACCGGUGGCGAAGGCGGGUCUCUGGGCAGUAACUGACGCUGAGGAACGAAAGCGUGGGUAGCGAACAGGAUUAGAUACCCUGGUAGUCCACGCCGUAAACGGUGGGGCGCUAGGUGUGGGUUCCUUCCACGGAAAUCCGUGCCGUAGCUAACGCAUUAAAGCGCCCCGCCUGGGGAGUACGGCCGCAAGGCUAAAAACUCAAAGGAAUUGACGGGG
rnacentral:rRNA from 1 species